AUCCAGUUCUCGUCCUUUUCCUCCGUGCCCUGCUCGAUCCAGAAUCCACAACUUCAACCUCGACGCUGCCGUUUCAACCUUCCUAGACGAUACUAUCAUCAACAUCCUCCCCCACCACCGCUGCCGACGCCGUUUCACCCUCCAAGCCCUCUGCGCCCUCUCUGAGCUCUGAUACCGCAAGAUCCUUUGCAAGAAACCGUCCUCAUCCUUCAACGGAACCCACCACAGCGUCUCCCUUUUUCAAUCUCCUCCUUCGCUCCCAGCUUUCACCAGAAGCUGUCUUCUUCUCGAGAGCCACUACUUAGGCCUCACCGCUACCGGUUCAACCUUCCUAGACAACACUCACAAAAACAACCUCAAGCUCCCCACAGGCGACGCAACCACCGCCAUUUCACUCUUUGAACCCUAAUCCCCCCCUCGAGCUCCGAUACCGCAGGUCCAUCGGCAAGAAACCCUAUUUCGCCUGCAACAGAACCCGCCACGGUAGAAUCGACCAUCUUUAACGAGAUCGAAUAAAAACUGUACUUUUGGAACGUAUGCAGAAGACCUGUGCAUCGACUCAUCACAUAGGAGAAGCAAAUACGAGGAUAAGCUUCUGCCUCCUUAUUUGGCAAUGAGGAUUUACUGCAAGUUUAAAUAGAAGCAGAAACGUGCUUUAAGCCACUCAGGUAUGGUGUUAUGUUAAAGCAUUUUCAAAACCAGGAUCCAUCUAUUAAUGGUUGGGGAAGCAAAGUGGAAUUCUCUUGACAGUAACAGGGCAAGGAAUGAAGGAAUCUCCAUGUGAUCUGAAGUAUGGCGAGUUUAGUUUAAUUUGAUUAGCUAUGCUGACACGUUCUUUCAGCUUUGUUUCGUUGGAAGACCUUGCUCUAUUGGUUAUUAUUGCUUUGAAUCUCUUUCAAUUAAAGCUUUAAAAAUACAAGUUGCAGCGUCUAACAUCGUUGCAUAAUCCAUUGGGGCUAUGAACCGAUUCUUUGACCUUAAAGGAGCUUAUAGCUUGCAGUUAUUCGAUGUAAUAGAUAGCACUUAUGCUGAAGUGUAUACUUUUAUUAUGCUGAAGUGUAUACUUUUAUUGAUACAAUUGUAAAUUACUGAAAGAAAUUGUUGGUUACUUUGUUAAGGAAAAAUUUGGGUCAAUGUAAACAAUGAAACAAUGGUCACUUUAAGAAGAUAUUUUUCGUUAGACCAAAAUAAAAUAAGAUGAUAUUUUUCACAUGGUAA